CAGGGAAAGACAGGAAAUUAGACACCAUAUCACUAUACUGCUUUUCAACAACAAAAAAUCACAAAAGAGUUUACAUAGCAAAAAAGGUAGCAAAAGGAUGAGAAGACGGUUCCUUCUAUCAAAGGGGUCCAAGAGCUAACAAGAAACACAAGGCAGACACCAACAACAGCUACCAGAAGCUUCAUGGUGGACUGAGAAGCACAUUCUUAAGUGGGUGUAAGCAUUACACUUGUUCCUCUAUGAGCUGUACUGUAUUAUGC